rnacentral:rRNA from 1 species
UAGAGUUUGAUCCUGGCUCAGAUUGAACGCUGGCGGCAUGCCUUACACAUGCAAGUCGAACGGCAGCACGGGUGCUUGCACCUGGUGGCGAGUGGCGAACGGGUGAGUAAUACAUCGGAACAUGUCCUGUAGUGGGGGAUAGCCCGGCGAAAGCCGGAUUAAUACCGCAUACGAUCUACGGAUGAAAGCGGGGGACCUUCGGGCCUCGCGCUAUAGGGUUGGCCGAUGGCUGAUCAGCUAGUUGGUGGGGUAAAGGCCUACCAAGGCGACGAUCAGUAGCUGGUCUGAGAGGACGACCAGCCACACUGUGACUGAGACACGGCCCAGACUCCUACGGGAGGCAGCAGUGGGGAAUUUUGGACAAUGGGCGAAAGCCUGAUCCAGCAAUGCCGCGUGUGUGAAGAAGGCCUUCGGGUUGUAAAGCACUUUUGUCCGGAAAGAAAUCCUUGGCUCUAAUACAGUCGGGGGAUGACGGUACCGGAAGAAUAAGCACCGGCUAACUACGUGCCAGCAGCCGCGGUAAUACGUAGGGUGCGAGCGUUAAUCGGAAUUACUGGGCGUAAAGCGUGCGCAGGCGGUUUGCUAAGACCGAUGUGAAAUCCCCGGGCUCAACCUGGGAACUGCAUUGGUGACUGGCAGGCUAGAGUAUGGCAGAGGGGGGUAGAAUUCCACGUGUAGCAGUGAAAUGCGUAGAGAUGUGGAGGAAUACCGAUGGCGAAGGCAGCCCCCUGGGCCAAUACUGACGCUCAUGCACGAAAGCGUGGGGAGCAAACAGGAUUAGAUACCCUGGUAGUCCACGCCCUAAACGAUG